CUUCCUCGCUCUGCUUCUCCACCCGCCGUGGGAGCCGUUUUCCUCAGCCCAGCUCUGUUGAUGCUCAUUCUGGGCCCGGUCCCAAAGUAAGCUGCUCACAACGGUGGACUAGACCGGUACUCGUCAAUGCCAUACUUGGACCCCUCGCGCCCAAGGCCGGACUGUUUCACCCCACCAAAAGGACAUUCCACUGAAGAGAUGAGUCCUUCAUUCACACCGACCAUGCCGACCUCCAGCUGCUCCGCCACUCUCCAGAUCUGGGCCGGGUCUUGAGAGUAAAAGUAACCUAGCAGGGGAACAAAGGCACGCAGACGGUUUGAGGAAUUCUCCUGAAAGUCACACGCGCCAGCCUCUGAGGGUGCCUGCCUGGUCACAGAGGCCCCGGGGUUCUCCUGCUUGCAGGUAAAGAAAGGCCCAGGUUGGUUUUGUCCACAUUUUCAUCCUAACAUCACGUUAAGCGUCUGUUUCUCUCUUGUUGGGGUCCUCCCCAGUCCCACUGGGCCUUUGUAAGCAUGCGCGUCUGUGCUCUCCUCCUGCUCCUCAGCCCCUCCUCCUUCAGAGGGCAAGAUGCUUCUUUAAGCCUUGCGGGUCGAUCCUAGUUGUCUAUAAAACAAGCCCACAUUGCCCGGUCCUGUCCCAGAGUGUGGCUGGGUCAGCCUUUUCAGCUUACUCCUGACUGUAAUUCAGAACUUAAGAGUAAUGCUCAAAAGGCGGAGGCUGGCCUUGACUUGCGUCAUGCCGACGGUGGCUGCCAGUCAGAAAACCUACCUGCCAAUCCAACCUCAGCUGCAUUUGCGAUGGCGACGGCCUCUUCCUCCUUAUCAAACCUGUCGGAGUUAAAGCAGGUCAUGAGCAAAAUCUGUGAGCUGAGGAAUAGAGAAAACCAGCUUUAUGUUCUCCUGAUUCACUUCCUAAAUACUGACAAGGAGAAGGUCAGAGUUGCAAAGCGAUCGAAGGGGAGGAGAAAUGAGUGGAGUAGAAGUGCAGACAUGGUAACUCAGCCUUCUCCAAGACCUGGUAAAGCAACGUGGCCCACCUUCUCUGAGAGAGGGAAAAGCGGACCAACCGAGGAGAGACAUCGUCAAACAAAAUCCUUUAAGGAAAGGACUGCUAGGUGCAGUGCUGGCUCAUUAGUUAACAGCACUUGUUGCUCUUGCAGAGGACCUGGGUUUGACUCCCAGCACCCACAUGGUGGCUCACAACUCUUAACUCCAGUCCCAGCAGAUCUGACAUCUUCUUCUGAGCCCUUCCAGGUCCUGGAUCUAAGUAAAAAACGGAAUAUUUUCAGACCAUUAUCUGCGAAUGAUCUGCGAAUUAUCCAGGCAAAUGAUUAUUUAUUAAGGUGGGAUAAAAGAUUAUACAAGGUUAUAGUUCAUUUCCUAUAGACUGAGAGGAUAGAGGCCUUGAGGGUAUUAGAAAAAUACUCUUAGAAAUCGGUGGGGGAAAGUAAGUUUAGAGGCAUUAAGAAAUCUAAAUGAGGGAUUUUGAUGAAUUUUGUGCUUGAAAUUGGGUAUGGUGUAUACCUAUAGGGGAGGCUAAAGCAAGAAAGUUGAGAGUUUAAGGCCAGCCUGGGUUAUAGAUGAGGCCUUGUUUCAAACAGACAAACACCCAAAACUAAAACCAACAAUAACCACCUUCCACACCACUCAACACAGACAAAACACAAACACCAAAAACUGGGGCUAGGACUAGGGAGACCUGGCUCUGUUGGUAAAUGCUGAGUUUGAUUCCCCAGAACCCGUAUGAAAACUCAGUUGUGGUGGCCUGUGCUUGGGAUCCCAGGUCUAACCAACCUACUCUACCUGGAGAGUCCUGGGUUGCAGUGAGAGACCCUGUCUCCAAGUUUAAGGUGGACAGCUCCCAAGAAGUAACACCCAGGGCUGACCUAUAUUUGCACCUGAAUACACAAACUCCAAAAUCAGACCCCAACUAUCAUAAAGCCGACUCUGCUGCUUGACUCUGACUGUACAACUCUGUUUGACUCUGCUAUGCAGCUGACUGCAUCUGCUCAGCCUUCCUAUUCUCUCUCUCUCUCAGACUAGCUUUUCCUUCCCUAGCGUCUCCUUCCUUCCACUACUGGAGGAACGUACUUGAUGACUGGUGCCAGAGGCCCAAAGGUCUCCUCAGUGAUGCAGAGCAUGUCCCUGGUGACAUGGCUGAGCAGGGUGGGCUCAAAGAAAUUUCCUCCACUUUGGUGUCGCUUUCCGCCCGUCACAACCGUGGCCCCUUUGGCAACUGCGUCAUUCACCUGCUUCUCUACCUGAGAGAUGAGAAGAAGGGCACCAGGGAAAGCUGGAUAGGGACAUUUUCCAAAUUGUACAAUCCCUUAAAAUGUUAAACAGCAAAAAACCAGUCAAGACUCGAUUCCUGGGAAUCACAUGGUGGAAGGAGAGAACGGACUCUGGAUAGCCCAUCGCUUUUCUGAGCUUUGCAUUUACGGAUGCUGGGCUGGUUGUACUCUUAGACCACUUGUCUACUUCUGUCUGGGUUGAAGAGAUGUUUGGAUACAUCUCAAAUAUCAUGGCAUUGCUUACCCAUGACAGAUGUUCGGUCUCAGAAAUGUGUUCUUAGCUGAUUUCACUAUUGAAUAAACAUCAUACAAUAUUUUGAUAUAAACCC
ensembl:antisense 4932702P03Rik RIKEN cDNA 4932702P03 gene